rnacentral:lncRNA from 1 species
CGAACUUCCAGAGCCUCCGCCGUCAUAAUGAAAACCUUCCACCAUCUCGAACUACCCAUCCUCGAUUCCCUCUUCGCCAUCUUCCCUCCAAAUCACCCAAUCCGCCCUCUCAGCCUAAUGCUCGACCAAAUGAUCACUCCAAACCCUAACAGCAACAACAACAAUACCCUUAACUCGAUCAGCUAAAGCCUGUGGAAAAGAAGAGCCAGAGUGCCUCAAACGGCAAAACACCAGGGAACCAAACUCCGUCGUCUACGUCAACUUUGAGAGCAUAACCAUCAUCACACGUCAGCAUAUGGUGGAAUUCGCGUGGGGCUGGCCAACAACAGUCACAUAAAACUAGAUUGCAAGCAAGGAAGACAGAUUACUUACAACAGAGUAACCUUAACCCCCACGAAUCAAUCACUCGCCGUCCGGUACACAGUCGAAGCUAUGACAUCAGAGCAAAGGGAGAAAUAGGAAUUAGGUCGGAAAAUAAUCGAGAGUAUCAUUGCGGUAGGAGCCAAAAUCAGGCGGACGAUAGAAAAAACAGUAAUGGAAUCGUCGAUUAGAAGGGAGGCGAGGGAAGAACGUAUCUUCGUCGUCAAUUACUGAGGACAGAAAAGAAGCUGCCGCAGGAGUGUUUAAUUGGAAGAGAGAGGAGACGACGA